GCUGGGCAUGGUGGCCCACGCCUGUAAUCCCAGAGUCUCUGGAAGCUGAGGUAGGAGGAUCAUGAGUUUCAAGCCAGCUGCAGCAAUUUAGCGAAGCCCUGAGCAACUUAGUGAGACCCUGUCUCUA
rnacentral:sRNA from 1 species